rnacentral:rRNA from 1 species
CAGUAGCCGCGGUAAUACGGAGGGUGCAAGCGUUAAUCGGAAUUACUGGGCGUAAAGCGCACGCAGGCGGUUUGUUAAGUCAGAUGUGAAAUCCCCGGGCUCAACCUGGGAACUGCAUCUGAUACUGGCAAGCUUGAGUCUCGUAGAGGGGGGUAGAAUUCCAGGUGUAGCGGUGAAAUGCGUAGAGAUCUGGAGGAAUACCGGUGGCGAAGGCGGCCCCCUGGACGAAGACUGACGCUCAGGUGCAAAAGCGUGGGGAGCAAACAGGAUUAGAUACCCGAGUAGUCCCUGUCUCUUAUAC